rnacentral:rRNA from 1 species
GGGUGCGAUCAUACCAGCACUAAAGCACCGGAUCCCAUCAGAACUCCGAAGUUAAGCGUGCUUGGGCGAGAGUAGUACUAGGAUGGGUGACCUCCUGGGAAGUCCUCGUGUUGCAUUCC